UGGGGAAUUUUCCGCAAUGGGGGCAAGCCUGACGGAGCAACGCCGCGUGGGGGAGGAAUGUCUGUGGAUUGUAAACCCCUUUUCUCAGGGAAGAAGNUCUGACGGUACCUGAGGAAUCAGCAUCGGCUAACUCCGUGCCAGCAGCCGCGGUAAGACGGAGGAUGCAAGCGUUAUCCGGAAUUAUUGGGCGUAAAGCGUCCGNAGGCGGUUUAUCAAGUCUGCCGUUAAAGACCGCAGCUCAACUGUGGGCGAGCGGUGGAAACUGAUUAACUAGAGUGNGGUAGGGGUAGAGGGAAUUCCCAGUGUAGCGGUGAAAUGCGUAGAUAUUGGGAAGAACACCAGUGGCGAAGGCGCUCUACUGGGCCACAACUGACGCUGAGGGACGAAAGCUANGGGAGCG
rnacentral:rRNA from 1 species